rnacentral:rRNA from 1 species
AUUGAACGCUGGCGGCAUGCCUUACACAUGCAAGUCGAACGGCAGCACGGGGCAACCUGGUGGCGAGUGGCGAACGGGUGAGUAAUGCAUCGGAACGUACCUUUCAGUGGGGGAUAACGUAGCGAAAGUUACGCUAAUACCGCAUAUUCUGUGAGCAGGAAAGCAGGGGAUCGCAAGACCUUGCGCUGAUUGAGCGGCCGAUGUCAGAUUAGCUAGUUGGUGAGGUAAAGGCUCACCAAGGCGACGAUCUGUAGCGGGUCUGAGAGGAUGAUCCGCCAACCUGGAACUGAGACACGGUCCAGACUCAUACGGGAGGCAGCAGUGGUGAAUUCUGGACAAUGGGGGCAACCCUGAUCCAGCCAUGCCGCGUGAGUGAAGAAGGCCUUCGGGUUGUAAAGCUCUUUCGGCCGGGAAGAAAUCGCACGGGCUAAUACCCUGUGUGGAUGACGGUACCGGAAUAAGAAGCACCGGCUAACUACGUGCCAGCCGCCGCCGUAACAC